rnacentral:misc_RNA from 1 species
GAUGAAGAACGUAGCGAAAUGCGAUAAGUAAUGUGAAUUGCAGAAUUCAGUGAAUCAUCGAAUCUUUGAACGCACAUUGCGCCCGCCAGUAUUCUGGCGGGCAUGCCUGUUCGAGCGUCAUUACAACCCUCAGGCCCCCGGGCCUGGCGUUGGGGAUCGGCGGAAGCCCCCUGCGGGCACAACGCCGUCCCCCAAAUACAGUGGCGGUCCCGCCGCAGCUUCCAUUGCGUAGUAGCUAACACCUCGCAACUGGAGAGCGGCGCGGCCACGCCGUAAAACACCCAACUUCUGAAUGUUGACCUCGAAUCAGGUAGGAAUACCCGCUGAACUUAAGCAUAUCUAUAAGCGGAGGA